rnacentral:lncRNA from 1 species
UAUCACCAAGGUAACAAUGAAAAUGAUGAUAAAUUAUUUCAAGUUGACGAUGAAGGCGAUGAAUUUGAAGAGGAUGACAUAGAUGACAAAUUUGAAGAGGACAACGUAGAUGCUAAAUAUGAAGAACACACACUUGAAUGAUUUAGAUGAUGAUGUUAGAUUAUGCUUUUUUGGACGAUGUUUUUUUACUAGGCAUGUACUUGAUUGAAGCAUCAAAAUUUCAACAAACUAUAUAUUUUGCUAGACUUAGUACUUUUAAGUAUUAAACUUUAUUUGAAUACUACCAUUUAUUUGUUUACUAUAUAUGUUACUAAUCUUAGACAAUUUGUUUAUUACCAUUUAUUUGAAUACAAC